rnacentral:rRNA from 1 species
UACGUAGGGUGCGAGCGUUGUCCGGAUUGACUGGGCGUAAAGCGCACGCAGGCGGUUGCGCGCGUGGGGUGUGAAAUCUGGCCGCUUAACGGCCAGGCGCCAUCCCAUACGGCGCGACUGGAGUGAUGCAGAGGUCGAUGGAAUUGCCGGUGUAGUGGUGAAAUGCGUAGAGAUCGGCAGGAACACCCAGGGGGAAACCAGUCGACUGGGCAUCUACUGACGCUGAGGUGCGAGAGCGUGGGGAGCGAACCGG